rnacentral:rRNA from 1 species
GGGUCAGUAGGUUGGUCGUGCCACCGGUACGUACUGGUCUCACUGAUUCCUCCUUCCUGAAGAACCGUAGUGCCAUUAAUUUGGUGUUGCGGGGAAACAGGACUGUUACUUUGAAAAAAUUAGAGUGCUUAAAGCAAGCUAACGCUUGAAUACAUUAGCAUGGAAUAAUGAAAUAGGACGAUCGAUCCUAUUUUGUUGGUUUCUAGGAUUGACGUA